UACCAAUGAUGACUUGCCAUGCUAAUACAGAGAGCAUUGCAUACCAAGUGUUGGAAUGCAUGUGUCCACUGAGUUGAAAAAAUUUUCAGUCUGAGGUUA